GUGCUUGCUUCAGCAGCACAUAUACUAAAAUUAGAAUGAUACAGAGAAGAUUAGUAUGGCCCUUGCGCAAGGAUGGGAUUAUCGUUAACUAUAGUUGCCUGUGUUAC